GGCAGCAGCCGCGGGAACACCGGCGGCCCGAGUGGUGAUCGUGAUUAUUGGGUCUAAGGGUCCGUAGCCGGUUGGUCAGUCCUCCGGGAAAUCUGAUAGCUCAACUAUUAGGCUUUCGGGGGAUACUGCCAGACUUGGAACCGGGAGAGGUAAGAGGUACUACAGGGGGUAGGAGUGAAAUCUUGUAAUCCCUGUGGGACCACCUGUGGCGAAGGCGUCUUACCAGAACGGGUUCGACGGUGAGGGACGAAAGCUGGGGGCACGAACCGGAUUAGAUACCCGGGUAGUCCCAGCCGUAAACGAUGCUCGCUAGGUGUCAGGCAUGGCGCGACCGUGUCUGGUGCCGCAGGGAAGCCGUGAAGCGAGCCACCUGGGAAGUACGGCCGCAAGGCUGAAACUUAAAGGAAUUGGCGGGGGAGCACAACAACGGGUGGAGCCCUGCGGUUUAAUUGGACUCAACGCCGGACAACUCACCGGGGGCGACAGCAAUAUGUAGGCCAAGCUGAAGACUUUGCCUGAAUCGCUGAGGAGUGGUGCAUGG
rnacentral:rRNA from 1 species